GUUCCUGUAGUUAAAUUUUAUAACAGUGGCUUUUCAGGCCGUAGAUCUCAGAGAGAAGCUGAGUAGGAAUU
rnacentral:tRNA from 1 species